CGGACGGGUGAGUAACACGUGGAUAACCUACCUAUAAGACUGGGAUAACUUCGGGAAACCGGAGCUAAUACCAGAUAAUAUAUUGAACCGCAUGGUUCAAUAGUGAAAGACGGUUUUGCUGUCACUUAUAGAUGGAUCCGCGCCGCAUUAGCUAGUUGGUAGGGUAACGGCUUACCAAGGCGACGAUGCGUAGCCGACCUGAGAGGGUGAUCGGCCACACUGGAACUGAGACACGGUCCAG
rnacentral:rRNA from 1 species